GGAGAGAUGGCUGAGAAGACCAAAGCGGCGGAUUGCUAAUCCGUAGUACGGAUUAUCCAUAUCGAGGGUUCGAAUCCCUCUCUCUCCG
rnacentral:tRNA from 1 species